rnacentral:rRNA from 1 species
AUAUUUUAGUGGCGAACGGGUGAGUAACGCGUGGGUAACCUGCCCUCUUAUCGGGGACAACUUGCCGAAAGGUGAGCUAAUACCGGAUGUCCUAUCUAAAACACAAGUUUAAGAUAGCAAAGGUGGCCUCUUUAAAUGCUACCGUAAAAGGAUGGACCCGCGUCUGAUUAGCUAGUUGGUGAGGUAAUGGCUCACCAAGGCGACGAUCAGUAGCCGGCCUGAGAGGGUGAACGGCCACACUGGGACUGAGACACGGCCCAGACUCCUACGGGAGGCAGCAGUGGGGAAUCUUCCGCAAUGGACGAAAGUCUGACGGAGCAGCGCCGCGUGAGUGAUGAAGGUCUUCGGAUUGUAAAACUCUGUUUUUUGGGACGAACGGCUCAUAUGUAAAUAAUGUAUGAGAUUGACGGUACCAAAGGAGGAAGCCCCGGCUAACUACGUGCCAGCAGCCGCGGUAAUACGUAGGGGGCAAGCGUUGUCCGGAAUUAUUGGGCGUAAAGAGCGCGCAGGCGGGUCUGUCAGUCUACCGUGAAAGCUUACGGCUCAACCGUAACAGGUCGGUGGAUACUGCAGAUCUUGAGGGCAGGAGAGGAAAGUGGAAUUCCCAGUGUAGCGGUGAAAUGCGUAGAUAUUGGGAGGAACACCAGUGGCGAAGGCGACUUUCUGGACUGUUACUGACGCUGAGGCGCGAAAGCUGGGGGAGUGAACGGGAUUAGAUACCCCGGUAAUCCCAGCCGUAAACGAUGGGUACUAGGUGUAGGAGGUAUCGACCCCUUCUGUGCCGGAGUUAACGCAAUAAGUACCCCGCCUGGGGAGUACGGUCGCAAGACUGAAACUCAAAGGAAUUGACGGGGGCCCGCACAAGCGGUGGAGCAUGUGGUUUAAUUCGACGCAACGCGA